rnacentral:piRNA from 1 species
UUACAGGAAAAAUAAAACGAUGUCUCUA